CCGAGUUAUACAACUCAUCAACCCUGUGAACAUACCUAAAACGUUGCUUCGGCGGGAACAGACGGCCCUGUAACAACGGGCCGCCCCCGCCAGAGGACCCCUAACUCUGUUUUUAGUGAACUGUUUCUGAGUAAACAAGCAAAUAAAUCA
rnacentral:misc_RNA from 1 species